CUGCAUGUGGAAAUGUCUGCUUCUCCUUCCUUUGGGAGCAGGAAUACAUCCAUAACAUGCUACAUCAAAAAGAAGUUCACAGGGCUGCCAACCUUACACUAGAGGAUGAGUGAUAAUAUAUUUCUCCUACAUAA